ensembl:lncRNA
GUCCCACCUCUGCCGCCGGCCUCAUAUCCGACCGCCAGAGCAGUCCCGCCUCUGCCGUCGGCCUCCUGCCCGACCGCCGGAGCGGUCCCGCCUCUGCCGCCGGCCUCCUGCCCAACUGCCAAAGCGAUUCUGCCUCUGCAGCUAGCCUCCUGCCUGACCGCCGGAGCGGUCCCGCCUCUGCAGCUGGCCUCUUGCUCGACUGCCAGAGCGGUCCUGCCUCUCCCUCUGGCCUCCUGCCCGACUGCCAGAGCAGUCCCGCCUCUGCAGCUAGCCUCCUGCCUGACCGCUGGAGCAGUCCCGCCUUUGCAGCUAGCCUCCCACCUGACCGCCAGAGUGGUCCCGCCUCUGUUGUCGGCCUCCUUCCGACCGCCAGAGCAGUCCCGCCUCUGCAGCUAGCCUCCUGCCAACUGCUGGAGUGGUCCCGCCUCUGCAGCUAGCCUCCUGCUCAACUGCUGGGGCGGUCCCGCUUCUGCCACCGGGCUCCUAUCCGAUCGCCGGAGCCGGUACUGCCUCUGCCGCCGGCCUCCUGCUCAACCGCCAAAGCGGUCCCGCUGGCAUGGUCCCGCCUUCACAGCCCCUCCUCCACUGCCAGUCUCCUGCCCGAAGGCCGAACCAGUCCCACCUUCGCCGCUAGCCUCCUGCCCGACGCCGGAGCGGUCUCGCCUCUGCCGCCGGCCUCCUAGCCAUCCGCCGGAGCGGUCCCGCCUUUGCCAUCAGACUCCUGCCUGACCUCCGGAGUGGUCCCACUGGCACGGUCCAACCUUCGCGGCCCUUCCUCCGCUGCCGGCCUCCUGCCCAAAGGCCAGAGCAGUCCCGCCGGAGCAGUCCUGCCUUUGCCGUCGGCCUCCUGCCUGACCACCAAAGUGGUCCCGCUGGCACGGUCCCGCCUUCACGGCUCCUCCUCCGCUGCCAGCCUCCUGCCUGACUGCCAGAGCGGUCCCGCCUCUGCAGCUAGCCUUCUGCUCGACUGCCGGAGUGGUCCUGCCUCUGCCACCGGCCUCCUAUCCGAUCACCGGAAUGGUCCCGCCUCUGUCGCCGGCCUCCUGCAUGACUGCACUAUUUUAGUGACUCAAUAAAUGCCUAAGUAUUUAAUAAACAUUUCUUUAAUAGCCUAUAUGUAAUCAAUAAAUGGCCUUUCCCUAUCUAAAGAAAAACUCUCUCAGAACUGUUAAAUAAGUUAAUAAGUAAUUACAUUAAUCUUAUCUUAACUGUGUUAAGAUAAGAUUUAGAUGGAGAAAAAAAGUAGAGAAUUUCUUUGUCCAGUAUUCUGCAUUCAGUUGUUUAUGUUUUUGCAGAAUCCAGUAUUGCACACUGGUUGGUCAUUACAUUUUAUUAGUCUGGUUUCGCUG